UACCAUUAAGUUGAGGACUCUAGCGAGACUGCCUGGGUUAACCAGGAGGAAGGUGGGGAUGACGUCAAAUCAUCAUGCCCCUUAUGUGUAGGGCUACACACGUGCUACAAUGGCUGGUACAGAGAGAUGCAAUACCGCGAGGAGGAGCCAAACUUAAAAACCAGUCUCAGUUCGGAUUGUAGGCUGAAACUCGCCUACAUGAAGCUGGCGUUACUAGUAAUCGCGAAUCAGAAUGUCGCGGUGAAUACGUUCCCGGGUCUUGUACACACCGCCCGUCACACCAUGAGAGUUGGCAAUACCCGAAGUCCGUGAGCUAACCGCAAGGAGGCAGCGGCCGAAGGUAGGGUCAGCGAUUGGGGUGAAGUCGUAACAAGGUAGCCGUAGGAGAACCUGCGGCUGGAUCACCUCCUUUCUAAGGAA
rnacentral:rRNA from 1 species